rnacentral:snRNA from 1 species
UCUGCGAAUAUCUCCCUGUUAGU